CUUCCCUUGCACCACCAUUUUUGGACACCACUUUUCCUCACAUUAAAAAUAUUUUGCAUGAGGUUUUCACCAUGACAAUAACAUCAGAUGUCACCCUUUUCUCAACACCAAAUAUGGAUGGGUUUUGAUAAAAGAAAUAUUUGAAAUUUGAUUUCAAAGAUAUUCCUUAUCUAGAUGAGAUUGGAUCUCAUCCCAACCACCUUCACGCCAUGCAUUGUAUUCCUUUCAUUAUGUGGGACAAAAUGAGGAAUAUGUAGCAUGGGAAAUCAAAAGGAAAUCGGAUUUACCAUGAAAGCAAGAUGGUUGGGGUGUCCAAUAUUGAUUUGGCAUGGGUUUUGUGAGAAGGUGGUGACAACACAUGCAAGAGUCCAAAUAUUGUUGGACUCUUCAAACCCUAUCCACUUUCAUGCCAAAAUAAAAGGAUUUAUUUUCUUUUGUGUGUGUAAGAGAGAGAUCAAAAAGAGGUCUUCACAGUGGGAAGGUGGGGCAUGGCAUCUUGGCAUGAAAGAAAGAGGAGAGCCCUC
rnacentral:lncRNA from 1 species